AAGCUCUUGAAUAAUGUAAUU
rnacentral:miRNA from 1 species